AACGAACGCUGGCGGCAUGCCUAACACAUGCAAGUCGAACGAGACCUUCGGGUCUAGUGGCGCACGGGUGCGUAACGCGUGGGAACCUGCCUUUAGGUUCGGAAUAACUCAGAGAAAUUUGAGCUAAUACCGGAUGAUGUCUUCGGACCAAAGAUUUAUCGCCUUUGGGUGGGCCCGCGUUGGAUUAGCUAGUUGGUGGGGUAAAGGCCUACCAAGGCGAGGAUCCAUAGCUUGUCAGAGAGGAAGGUCAGCCACACUGGGACGAGGAAGCGGCCCAGAAUCCUACGGGAAGGGGGAAGGGGGGAUAGUGGAACAUGGGGCGAGGGCUGAAGCUGCAAUGACCGCGAAAGUAUGAAAGGCGUGAGGGUUAUAAGUGUAUUUAACCGGGAAGAUAAUGACGGUAACGGGUGAAUAAGCUCCGGCUAACUCCGUG
rnacentral:rRNA from 1 species